GGGCGGAUAGCUCAGCCGGGAGAGCAUCGGCCUUACAAGCCGAGGGUCGCGGGUUCGAUCCCUGCUCCGCCCACCA
rnacentral:tRNA from 1 species